AAGCAGGAAAAAAUAAACAGGAAGUAGUGUAGGUAACUUAGUGCCUCUGGGUUGUCUCUCCUUUGCUCCAGCGCUUCUGUGGAGAUUAUCCAAGCAUCACUACCCGAUAGCCUACAAAUGAGUUUGUGGUCAGCUCAGCUCCAUGGGAUGGGUGCGAAGUGAAGUUUUGGUACCUGGUGUUCCUCUCGGUAGAAGUCGGGAGCCUGUUGAAUGGAUGGACUCAUUGGAUAUUUCUUGUUCAUGUUCACAGAGAAAUGGUGAAUUUCUUUCAAAUGCUGCAAACUAGAAAAAUGCAAAAGGAUUCAUCAGAGGAACCAAUUUGAAAGAGCCACUAUCAGUUUUUUCUCAUAAGUGUAAAGCAACUGAUUUGCUGCUGAUAAAGUCUCUGUAAGUAGCAUUAUAAUUAAGCACACACAAACCAUUCUGUGUUUCUAAGAAUACAGCUGGGCUAGCAGGAGUUG
rnacentral:lncRNA from 1 species